rnacentral:rRNA from 1 species
AUUCCAGCUCCAAUAGCGUAUAUUAAAGUUGUUGCGGUUAAAAAGCUCGUAGUUGGAUUUCUGUUGAGGAAGUCCGGUCCGCACUUUGUGCGUGAUCUGGUUCUGCCUCGGCAUCCUCGCGGGGAACGCGCUGCGCUUGAUUGCGUGGUGCGGUAUUCGCGACUUUUACUUUGAGGAAAUUAGAGUGUUCACGGCAGGCUAUCGCCUUGAAUACGUUAGCAUGGAAUAAUAAUAUAGGACCUUGGUUCUAUUUUGUUGGUUUCUAGAACUAAGGUAAUGAUUAAUAGGGAUAAUUGGGGGCAUUUGUAUUAACACGUCAGAGGUGAAAUUCUUGGAUUGUGUUACGACAAACUACUGCGAAAGCAUUUGCCAAGGAUGUUUUCAUCA